GACAUAAACUAUUUUAGACGCAAUCAAGGAAGAAUCGCCCAUCAUGUGGAAUUGAGCGGCAGUUUUAAAUGUACUAAGAGAAGACUGGUCUCGAAAAAAAAAAAAAAAAACAUUUUUUUCCCCUUCUUUUUUUGGAGACGCCUAAAGGAGCCUGUUUGUGUGCUGUGUGGCCACGUUCUGCUGUGACUGGAUCUUGUCUUCUGCCUGGCUCCUCGAUUUCCGUCCGGCUGGAUUUGGGGACAACACUGCCUGGCGCAGACAGAUCAAAUGACACUUCAAAGAAGCAUAAAAUGAACAGACUAUUCAAACAAAGGUAAUUUACAUUUUUUUAUUUGAUAAAACCUGACUGAUGUACAAAACGAAAAUAGAAUAUUGUUUACUGGAAAACAGGUCUACAAUCUCUCACACAUCUUCUCUUGCAACAGAUAGAAUUCCAGAAACAUCUAAGUUCCUCUGUGUACAGUUAUUUCUCCUGUAGGAGCCUUUGUAUGGAUGUAAUACACACAUAUAUGUAUAUGCAUAGAGCAUGACAUAAAUAAAACCUGCAAUAGCCUAUAAGAAAGAAGCUCCUAUUUAGAGGAAAGGGUAAGAUACUUUUAUUAUAAUGAAAGCCAGUUCACUUCAUCACUUGGACCAUGGACACUAAUGUAAAUAAAAUGGCUUAAAAAAUAAGACAAUAGUAGUAUUGACUGUAGACUACAAUUUGCACAUUUGUAAUUCUUAUAAAUGAAAUAUUUAAAAUGAUUUGGUGUUGGGCCAGUUCCUUAUGCAUUCUGCAUUCAUGUGUAUAGGAUUCAAAGACGUUCCAAAUAUUGAUCAUAAACCAAGUGUAUAUGAAUUAAUUAAAUAGCAUAUUUCUGGCCCAAAUAUGAGGAAAACCAUAACUUUUUACUGUAAAUCAGGAGAGAUUGUUUUAUCCCCAAAUAAACUAGGAUGUUUCAAGUCAUGUUUCAGCAAUUUGGAGACCUACAAACUAUCUGCAAGCAAGCACAACAACCAUACUCUAAUCUACUAGAUAGUAGUGAGAAUUUAGUGCUUGAAUUCAGGCUGCUUGAAUUCAGUAUAUCCUUCUCUAUGCUGAUUUUCAAGUAGAUAUUCUGUAGCUCAGCUAGAUAAUCUUUUAAAAGC
rnacentral:lncRNA from 1 species